rnacentral:rRNA from 1 species
AUUGAACGCUGGCGGCAUGCUUUACACAUGCAAGUCGGACGGCAGCACAGAGAAGCUUGCUUCUUGGGUGGUGAGUGGCGAACGGGUGUGUAAUAUACCGGAACGUAUCGAGUAAUGGGGGAUAACUAAUCGAAAGAUUAGCUAAUACAGCACAUUCUCCGUGCAGGUAAGCAGGGGACCUUCGCGCCUUUUGUUAUUCGUGCGGCCGAUAUCUGAUUAGCUAGUUGGUGGGGUAAAGGCCUACCAAGGCGACGAUCAGUAGCGGGUCUGAGAGGAUGAUCAGCCACACUGGGACUGAGACACGGCCCAGACUCCUACGGGAGGCAGCAGUGGGGAAUUUUGGACAAUGGGCGCAAGCCUGAUCCAGCCAUACCGCGUGUGUGAAGAAGGCCUUCGGGUUGUAAAGGACUUUUGUCGGGGAAGAAAAGCCGGAGGCUAAUAUCAAUAGCUGAUGACGGUACCUGAAGAAUAAGCACCGGCUAACUACGUG